rnacentral:rRNA from 1 species
AUAAGUAGGUGACAAGCGUUAUCCGGAUUUACUGGGCGUAAAGGGCGUGUAGGCGGUCUUGCAAGUCAGAAGUGAAAUUCCUGGGCUCAACUCGGGCGCUGCUUCUGAAACUGCAGGACUUGAGUGCUGGAGGGGAUAGCGGAAUUCCUAGUGGAGCGGUAAAAUGCGCAGAUAUUAGGAAGAACACCGGUGGCGAAGGCGGCUAUCUGGACAGUAACGGACGCUGAGGCGCGAAAGCGUGGGGAGCAAACAGGAUGAGAUACCCUGGUAGCCCACGCCGUAAACGAUGAAUACUAGGUGUAGGGGGUAUCGACUCCCUCUGUGCCGCAGUUAACACAAUAAGUAUUCCGCCUGGGGAGUACGGCCGCAAGGUUGAAACUCAAAGGAAUUGACGGGG